GACGAACGCUGGCGGCGUGCUUAACACAUGCAAGUCGAACGGAAAGGCCCUGCUUUUGUGGGGUGCUCGAGUGGCGAACGGGUGAGUAACACGUGAGUAACCUGCCCUUGACUUUGGGAUAACUUCAGGAAACUGGGGCUAAUACCGGAUAGGAGCUCCUGCUGCAUGGUGGGGGUUGGAAAGUUUCGGCGGUUGGGGAUGGACUCGCGGCUUAUCAGCUUGUUGGUGGGGUAGUGGCUUACCAAGGCUUUGACGGGUAGCCGGCCUGAGAGGGUGACCGGCGACAUUGGGGCUGAGAUACGGCCCAGACUCCUACGGGAGGCAGCAGUGGGGAAUAUUGCACAAUGGGCGGAAGCCUGAUGCAGCAACGCCGCGUGCGGGAUGACGGCCUUCGGGUUGUAAACCGCUUUCGCCUGUGACGAAGCGUGAGUGACGGUAAUGGGUAAAGAAGCACCGGCUAACUACGUG
rnacentral:rRNA from 1 species